rnacentral:rRNA from 1 species
UUGCAGGGUAUAGACCCGAAACCCGGUGAUCUAGCCAUGGGCAGGUUGAAGGUUGGGUAACACUAACUGGAGGACCGAACCGACUAAUGUUGAAAAAUUAGCGGAUGACUUGUGGCUGGGGGUGAAAGGCCAAUCAAACCGGGAGAUAGCUGGUUCUCCCCGAAAGCUAUUUAGGUAGCGCCUCGUGAAUUCAUCUCCGGGGGUAGAGCACUGUUUCGGCAAGGGGGUCAUCCCGACUUACCAACCCGAUGCAAACUGCGAAUACCGGAGAAUGUUAUCACGGGAGACACACGGCGGGUGCUAACGUCCGUCGUGAAGAGGGAAACAACCCAGACCGCCAGCUAAGGUCCCAAAGUCAUGGUUAAGUGGGAAACGAUGUGGGAAGGCCCAGACAGCCAGGAUGUUGGCUUAGAAGCAGCCAUCAUUUAAAGAAAGCGUAAUAGCUCACUGGUCGAGUCGGCCUGCGCGGAAGAUGUAACGGGGCUAAACCAUGCACCGAAGCUGCGGCAGCGACGCUGAUGCGUUGUUGGGUAGGGGAGCGUUCUGUAAGCCUGCGAAGGUGUGCUGUGAGGCAUGCUGGAGGUAUCAGAAGUGCGAAUGCUGACAUAAGUAACGAUAAAGCGGGUGAAAAGCCCGCUCGCCGGAAGACCAAGGGUUCCUGUCCAACGUUAAUCGGGGCAGGGUGAGUCGACCCCUAAGGCGAGGCCGAAAGGCGUAGUCGAUGGGAAACAGGUUAAUAUUCCUGUACUUGGUGUUACUGCGAAGGGGGGACGGAGAAGGCUAUGUUGGCCGGGCGACGGUUGUCCCGGUUUAAGCGUGUAGGCUGGUUUUCCAGGCAAAUCCGGAAAAUCAAGGCUGAGGCGUGAUGACGAGGCACUGCGGUGCUGAAGCAACAAAUGCCCUGCUUCCAGGAAAAGCCUCUAAGCAUCAGGUAACAUCAAAUCGUACCCCAAACCGACACAGGUGGUCAGGUAGAGAAUACCAAGGCGCUUGAGAGAACUCGGGUGAAGGAACUAGGCAAAAUGGUGCCGUAACUUCGGGAGAAGGCACGCUGAUAUGUAGGUGAAGUCCCUCGCGGAUGGAGCUGAAAUCAGUCGAAGAUACCAGCUGGCUGCAACUGUUUAUUAAAAACACAGCACUGUGCAAACACGAAAGUGGACGUAUACGGUGUGACGCCUGCCCGGUGCCGGAAGGUUAAUUGAUGGGGUUAGCGCAAGCGAAGCUCUUGAUCGAAGCCCCGGUAAACGGCGGCCGUAACUAUAACGGUCCUAAGGUAGCGAAAUUCCUUGUCGGGUAAGUUCCGACCUGCACGAAUGGCGUAAUGAUGGCCAGGCUGUCUCCACCCGAGACUCAGUGAAAUUGAACUCGCUGUGAAGAUGCAGUGUACCCGCGGCAAGACGGAAAGACCCCGUGAACCUUUACUAUAGCUUGACACUGAACAUUGAGCCUUGAUGUGUAGGAUAGGUGGGAGGCUU